AAUAGGAGAUUUAGUGGUUGGAUGAUGUAAGGGCUGUGAGCUAUGGUUGUUUUAUAUGCAUAUUUAUUUCCCAGGACAUUCUGUGUGGCUCCCAUUAUGUGUGCUCAAUUAUUCGAAUUAAGAGUAACAUUAAGGAUUUGGGCCAAACAGCCAUUUAAUAUUAGUUCGUGGAACCAGUUUGCCAGGAGAUAACAGAUAUCUAAGAUUGUGUCCUUUGGUUGGGGGAAGGGGAAGUUCUUUUAAAAGUCUUCAUGUAUUUGAUAUUUUGCUUUUAUAGAGGGAAAAUAAUAGUAUAUAUUCUGUUUUCAAGCUUAAGGAAGUAAGUGGGUUUUAUGUGCAGGCUAGAAGAAACCUGAUAUCUUGUAUCAGUUUUCAGUUUUGUGCUUCCUAAGUUAUUUUACAAAAUUUGGGUUACCAUUAAAAUGAAAAUUUAAGUUCUGUAUUAAUACCCAUGGUCUUUAGAUCUGUAAAGGGACUUAAAUAAUUAAUCAUUAGAGAAAAAACAUGCUUUAAGAUUUUGGUGUAGAAAGAGAAGUGUACACUAGAAUUAGGUUUGUUUGUAUGUAAUGGGAAGAAAACAAUAGCUUAAGUAACACAGUAAGUCUGUUUCUCUCUCCUAUAGUGUCACCAGGGCCUCUGCAUCCUAUCUUUCUGUCCCCCCCCCUCAGCAAUAGAUUUCCAUCUUUACAGUCACUUUGUGGCCCAGAGUGCUGCUGGAGCUCCAGUCAUCUUGCUCAUAGUUCAGGAAGGAG